GGUGGGGCAGCGUGCACUGCGUCACAGCGCAGGGAGGACGGCGAUGUGAAGACGCUGGCGAGGGAAGCUCGGGCCACGUCGUCGUACUUAAGAUCCCUGCUUCUUUCUGAGAGGAAUCAAUUUUCAUUCUCUUUCUGCUGUGUGACGCCUGGGGACUGUGUGGUGUGGGGUGAGGGGUUGCCAGGGACGAAGGUUCUGACGCUACAGUCACUGCGGAAAGAUUCCAUUUCUUCUUGACCUGAGAGGAAUCCCGUUUUCUUAGUGAUGAGCCGUGCCGGCAGAAUGCCAAGGGGAGCUCCUCCGCAGGUUUCAGAACAAGCAGUAGAGGGGCAGAGGUCAAAAUUUUGUGUCUGCUCUGCUAGCACCUCACUUCCCAUGGAGGCAUGGCACACAAAAAGGAGGACACGUUGCGUAUUUCAGAGCAAGUAAAAUGCUGUGUGGAGAUUGAUUUAUAUAACUUUUUUGCUAGAUUAGUCAAGAAGCUGGAUUAAUAUUUUAAUCAUAUUCUCUUGAGAGGAAAAGGCAGCUGGCGAAAUUGUUGGAGGUGACAUGCCAAUCUACAUAGAAACCAAGUGUGGUUUGGAGACCACCAUGGAAAUAAUAACUUCAGUCAUUAAGUGGAGAAUGAAAGGAGGAAAGAAACCAGAUAAGUUUUCCAGGAUCAAGAAGUUAUUUUUAUUAUAAACUAACCUUAGGGAGACCAUAGACUUUAUUAUUAUUUUAACAUUUAAGUUCAAAUACUGAUGGCUUUAUCUUUUCACUGCUGACUACUCUUGGCAACAGCAGAGUUAGCAAGGAGUGCACUAGAACAUCUUUCAUUUUUUUAUUUUUCAGUUGCCAUUUUAAUUGUGCAUAUAAGCUCAGUUGUGCAGGCAGUGCAUGGCAAAGAGCAUACAGUGGCAAAGAGCAUACAGUGGCACAAUUCAUACUCGAUGCAGGGUUUCUCCCUCCCUGUGAACUUGACUUCUCAAGGCCUGAAGUCGAGCAGUUGAUACAAAUUCACUGGCAUCCUGAAAUCUCAAGGAAGAGAACUUACUCUUUUUUUGUUUCCGUGCAGACCUGGAUAACACCAAGUCUUUACAAUGCUCUGUAGCUGGCACUAGCGGUAAAACAUCUGGAGGAUAAUGUACUGGGUUCUGGGAGAUGCUAUCUUUUGCUUGGGGACUACCCUCAGAUGGAAAUCGAUAUUUAGAUUAUUCCUGGGAAUUUCUUUGUGCUUCUGAAUUUUGUGAGAACAAGGCUGGUGCUAUGACAUUCUGUGUUCUGUUGACCCUUAGGUAUUGUAGAAAAGAGGGAAAAGAGAUUCUUAGGGUUGAAAUAGUCAAACUUUGAAGAUGCAAAGCCUCUACUCCAAUUAUAUUGGCAGAUGGCCCAGGGCGCAGCUGCCAGUGAAGGAUCCCAGAUUCUACCCAAAGGCCUGAAUACCAUCGUCUUCUGCCUGGAACUGAGUCAGUAAAAGGAAAUAGGAAGCCAAACAGCAGAAGGGCACACCCUGCUUACCAGAAACGCAUUACUAAAGAAGAAAUUCCGUGGUGUACCCUUUGGCUCCUGGCCCUUGGGUCCUGUCCUGCACCAUUGACAAGUUAAUAUGGUUCAACUACAUGAUGCCAAAUUGAAGAAGCCACUGAGGAAGCAACUCAGGAGCCCAUUUGCAUUAGCAGUUAAUAAUUCAGCCAAUGAGAGUUCAUGGCAGAGACCUGGGCCCUGGAAGAAGAUGGAGGAGCAAGUAUCAGGAGCCCAGACGGAGUGAGAAAAGUCAUAGGAGGAGGAGGCAAAGCCAGGCAAAAGCCAGAUCCUGGAAGUCACGGUUGGCUAGGCCAUCAAAUCAGAAGGUCAUAAGCAGUGGCCAGGCCCAGACGAGCUUGAGGAAUCUUGACCUUACACAAUAGUGGUAAAGAGUCAGCAGGUUCCAUGUGGGAGCCCACAAGUCCUGAGUCUGCAGUGAAGUGAACUUAUAUUAUCUGUUGGGGAGGAAAAUUCUCAAGUCUCUGUUCAAAUAGCCAGCAAUGUGACUUUAAAGAGUUUUAAGUGUAUUUAUGCCUGACAUAUUUCUGGAGUAAGCUUUGUUUCAUUUUGUUCCUGGGAAAUCUAAGUCCCCUCUUGCAGAGUUCAAUAAUUUGAAACUAAAAGUUUUAGAUGCAUUUUAAACAGCCACUUUCCCUCCCUACCCACUCAUUUACCAAAAUAAACAUGGCCACCCUGCCGCUGCGCUCUGAUUUGCAUAGCAGCCGAGCUGCUGCAGAUUCUCACACUGGGGCUAUUUCAGAGUUUGUGGAGAUGGCAAAGGGUUCCUUUCCUUAAAUAGUCUGGAGCAUGGUCCCCUUGGACGGCUGCUUUCGAAAACACUGUUACUGUAAAGUGAAAAUACUUGAGGAAAUAAAAUGCUAAUGAUAAAAGAAAAA
rnacentral:lncRNA from 1 species